ensembl:snRNA U6 U6 spliceosomal RNA
GUACUUGCUUCGGCAGCACAUAUACUAAAAUUGAAACAAUACAGAGAAGUUUAGCAUGGCCCCUGCGCAAGGAUGACACGCAAAUUCGUGAAGUGUUCCAUAUUUUG